GAACAGGUGCUGGUGGUGGAGAUGAAACUGGAACUGGUGCUGCUGGUGGUGUAGCAGCAACAGGUGGUGGUGUAGCAGCAACAGGUGGUGGUGUAGAAGCAACAGGUGGUGGUGUAGAAGCAACAGGUGGUGGUGUAGAAGCAACAGGUGGUGUUGCAACUGGUGCUAUUGGUGUUGUUGUUGGUGGUGCAGAAACUGGUGUUGCAACUUGUGGUGGUGUUGAAACAACUGGUGUUGGUGGUGCUGCAGUUGGUGCUUUAACUGGAGAUGUAGAUUUUGUCGGUGGUGGAGUAGUGGUUGUAGCAGGUGGAGAUGCGGUUGGUGCAGUUGGUGUAGGUUGAGUAGUUGGUGCUGCUCCCGGAGCUUGACCGCCG
rnacentral:lncRNA from 1 species